GGAAACUGAACCAAAAUGUUAAGUGAGAAAAAAAGAUAAAGAAAGAAACAUCUAAUAAGAACAUAGAUAUUCAUUUCUUCAAAACCACAUGAACCGAUCUUUACAUGUUUAGAAUCAAGGAUACGUACCUGGUAACAAACAACAAACAAAUGAGAAAAAGUGAGCUUGGAGCAAAAUAGAAGCAACGACAGUAGCAGACUCAAACAAAGAGGAGAACCACAGCAGAAUCAGCUCAAUGGAAUAGUGUUGAAAAUCAAACAGCUCAAACUCCAAAUUUUUGACCUCAUUUCAGCAAUCAAAAACCUCAAAUUUACUCUAUUUAUCGAGCUUUUGAAUACUAAUUUAUCCCAAGAAAUCAAGAAAAAAUUCUAACCUGUUUUUAGUACUUUUUCUUGAAGAAAAGAAAUUCAGCCGUUCUUAAGUUUUUCUGGAUUUUUUAUCUCUUGAUUUCUGACUCGCUAGUGAAGUAACGAUGCUUUUAUAGGUAAGGUUUUUAGGGUUCGAGAAAUAAGAUAAGUUUUGCACCUAAAUCCUUUUGAAAUUUUUAUUUUUGCGUCGAG
rnacentral:lncRNA from 1 species